CACGUAGGGUGCGAGCGUUGUCCGGAAUUAUUGGGCGUAAAGAGCUCGUAGGCGGUUCGUCGCGUCGGCUGUGAAAUCCCGAGGCUCAACCUCGGGUCUGCAGUCGAUACGGGCGGACUGGAGUACUGCAGGGGAGACUGGAAUUCCUGGUGUAGCGGUGAAAUGCGCAGAUAUCAGGAGGAACACCGGUGGCGAAGGCGGGUCUCUGGGCCGAUACUGACGCUGAGGAGCGAAAGCCAGGGGAGCAAACGGG
rnacentral:rRNA from 1 species